UGUACUUUUUCAGCAUGUUGGGUUACUUUUUACCCAAAGUUGGGUAAAUAACUUUGAGCCACAAGACUGGAUUUAGGCGGGCUGAAAAGUUGAAGCCAUUUUUGACAGUUUUGUUGUGUACUGAAGAUGAAAUAAAUUUAAUGUCAAAUAUUGGUGGUAUAACUAGAUGGCUCUGUGCCUAACAUCUGUGACUUGGACACAGGGGAUUGGGGUUAAAAUUGUGCCCACGGUGAAUGGCCCACCCAUGGAAAAUGAGUUGGUUAUGCCGGGGAGGGGGUGGGGGGCAUCCGGUGUAAGAACUGUGCCAAACGUUUUAUGUCAGCGAUUCGCCGCGGUAGCCCCUAACAGGGAAAGGUUGCUCUUUCUUCUUCUAAGAAAAAGUUGUUCAUAAAGUUGUAUUAUUUUUAUCAACAGCUAUACGAACAACCUGAUAACCAGUUUCUUGGUAGUGUUAACUGAUCAGUUUAGGAAGUUUUUACCCCUUCGCUAUUUCACCAAAUUUGGGUUACUUUUGACCCAGCGGGUUUAUGAGUGUAUUUGUGUGCCUUUUCAUUCUUACAUGCUAUCAAUAACGCACAGCUCAGUCAGUGUCACCAUAAGGUGUCUUUGAGACUUCCUCAUUUCACAAAAUAAAAGUUGGGGAUUUUCCCAGUGGACAUAAACACCAUCACGGUAAGCAAACUCCCCUCCCACUAAAAGCAACAGGACAGUCUGCGAGGCUUGCCCGAUCACUACAUGGCUGCAUGAUCAUGCCUUGUGAGGGUCUAUUUCCCCCAAGCGUGUGUGUGUGCGCGCGUGCGCUGCAUGCCACAUUCCUCACAUGCAGAGUGGCGGAAAGGGCAGUGGCCCCUCAUCGGCAGAGGUGUAUGGAAAAGGGGAGCGUGAGGAGGGAGAGUGUGCAGACGCAACGCGAUUGAUGGAAGAGGCCAGACGGCCACAUGACGAGGCAAACAGGAUCGAGUGUCUACUUGUGUCCAGUGAUCGGUGAUCAGCACCAUACAGAUCUUUCUCCGUCUCAACCACAUGGAUGGGCAUGAUACCAGUCUUGCAGCUGGAGCACCCACCCCUCCCCGCCCGCGCAUCUUUCAAGUGGUGCCGUGGGCCGACAGCAAAUCACCACCAGGACACCUGACCUGCAUUUGCGCUCGAGUGUACACCAAAGAUGCAUGCUCACCUUCGACUGCGCUUAGACGAUGUUCAUUCCAUUUCACUAGCUUAUUCUUUGAGAUCAAGGAAAAAGAUGAAGAUGCAUUAAAGCAUUUAACUGUUAAUGAUUUUUUU